rfam:Mustela putorius furo unplaced genomic scaffold scaffold00161, whole genome shotgun sequence.
GCCUGACUGACUCAGCUGGUAGAGCGUGCGACUCCCAAUCUCAGGAUCCUGAGUUCAAGCCCCACGUUGGGCA